rnacentral:lncRNA from 1 species
UAAGACUGAGUGGUCCUAGGACUCCCAGAGGCCUAAGGCCUGGUAGCUACAGCUUCACGAACCCCUCCCCCAUCUUCCAAUAGGGUACCCCAAGGACACAUGGACCCAGCUCCUUUGACUUGCAGAUGAAGUUUGUGUGUGGUCAGUGUUGGAGGAAUGGGCAGGUGGUGGAGCCCGAUAAGGACCUCAAGUACUGCAGCGCCAAGGCCCGGCAUUGCUGGACCAAGGAGAGGCGGGUCCUUCUGGUGAUGUCCAAGGCCAAGAGGAAAUGGGUGUCUGUGAGGCCACUGCCAUCCAUUCGAAACUUCCCACAGCAAUACGAUCUCUGCAUCCAUGCCCAGAACGGCCGCAAAUGCCAGUACGUGGGGAACUGCUCCUUCGCACACAGCCCUGA